CGUAGAUACCAGUUGGUGCUGGUGUGGUGAUUAUGUUGUACGAGAUGACUCUUGUAUUGUAAAUAUUUCCCUGCUUCUUGGAACAAGGAACAUAGGAUGUCUUGAUGCCAACUUAGUUCUCCCUGGAAAUAUGAUAAAAAGAUGUUUAAGCAGAAAAAACCCUUAACUUGAGGGUUAUAAAAGUAUAAAACUAAUUCCUCGUGGCCUUUUUAUUCACGCAUGCGCGAUAGUUCGUGAGCAGACGAACCACUGAAAGAGUUUUGCGCAGUCUAGUUGCAUCCAGCCAAAUAGAGCAAGGGCGAAACGCGUACCCCCUUCUGAUUUACGAACGCACCUUGCGCGUGGCGGCCAUGUUUGUAUCUUGAGAGUUUUCUGCGGUUUUUUUGUCCUACUAUUCCUUAUGUGAUUGGAACUCCGUCUUCUAAGAAUAUUCACAAAAAAUAUUUGCGUAACAGUUGGAUUAUCUAAAACUACAUCAUUACAAAGUUUCACGAUGUGCUGCAUAGUAAAAGGAUGCACUCGAAGUAGAUUAACUAAUAACGACGCAAGGUUUUACUCCAUUCCCAAAGUGAGAAAUGACGAAACAGAGUUGUUGGUGGAAAGAAGAGCUCUUUGGUUAAAAAGAGUUAACAUUAAAGAAAAACAACUGCUUGUUUCUGGUAAAGUUUGCGACAAGCACUUCAUUUUAGGCAAACCUAGUUAUGAACGUGAUAUAUCUAAUCCAGAUUGGGCACCAACUUUGUUAUUAGAAAACAACGAACAGCUUUCAGCAAACAGGUGUCAGAGAAGAUAUAUACAUAGCCAGGCUAGAGCAUUAUUAGAUAUUUCAGCAAGGUUUGCUAGGAAAGGAACUAUUUGCUUUGAAGAGCCUGAACAGCAGAUUGAGAUUGAUUCAAGACAUGAUGAUUGAAGUAAUUCUCCAUUACUUUCAUUGCUAUUGAUUAUGGCAAGCGAUUCGACACACGAACUACCAGACGGAGACUGAGACUGAGAGUCUUGGGAAACACAGGAACCUAAAAUGUAUAUGGAAGAAGAAUAAAUAAGAAGUAUUUUAAACAUGUGCCUGAUAAGCUAGUUUCAUUACUGUUCAGACUUAUAAUGGAAUCAGGUGAUGAGAUGGAUUGAAGAUUUUUGUUUAUUUCAUUAUCUGGAUCAGACAUCUCCAUUUGUGUCUGCUGUUCAGGCUCUUCAAGCUAGCUGCAAGCAGUGGAACAAGGCAAGAGAGGGUAGAGUUACUGCCAGUAAAGUUUACGACGUGUCAAAAACCAACCUGAGUAAUCCUUCGAAAUCCCUAUUACAACAAGUGGCGUACCCAACGGAUUGUGCGUUCCGCUCAAAAGCCACAGACUGGGGGAUAAAGCACGAAGGGGCAGCAAUAAGGAGAUUCAAACAAUAUAUGAAAGAGGCAAACUUACAUACCAACUUUGAGAUACAUGGCGCUGGCUUGUAUGUUUGUCCUUCACAUGGAUAUUUGGCGGCAACCCCUGAUGGAAUUUUCAAAUGCGCUUGUCACGAAGAUGCUGUGAUGGAAAUGAAAUGUCCCUAUUCUCACAGGAAUAAUACUUCAGGCGAAGCUGCUACUCCCGAUACAAAGUUCUGUCUGACCGUAGACGACAAUGGAAUAUUACAACGAAAACGAUGUCAGCCCUACUUCUAUCAGGUUCAGCUACAGAUGUUGGUUUGUGAACUCAAGCGAUGUUUCUUUUGCAUUUAUACGUUGAAAGACUUUGGUUGCUUCUUGAUUAAUUUCCAAGAAGAAUUUGUUUAUGAAACACUUGUAUCAAAAUCAAAAUUGUAUAUUCUACAGGUUGUAUUACCUCUUAAAAGCAAAUUCUUAAAAGCAAAUAGUUCCUUUCCUAGCAAACCUAGCUGAAAUAUCUAAUAAUGCUGUAAACUAGUGUUAUUGAUGUCAACAGAAAUAUAAUUGAACUUCAACCACAAACCUCUAGCCUGGCUAAGUAUAUAUCUUCUCUGACACCUGUUUGCUGAAAGCUGUUCGUUGUUUUCUAAUAACAAAGUUGGUGCCCAAUCUGGAUUAGAUAUAUCACGUUCAUAACUAGGUUUGCCUAUUAUGAAUAUAAAGGAAAGUAUUAGCUACAAAUUGACAAGUAAAACAUGAAGACGGAGUUCCAAUCACAUAAGGAAUAGUAGGACAAAAAAACCGCAGAAAACUCUCAAGAUACAAACAUGGCCGCCACGCGCAAGGUGCGUUCGUAAAUCAGAAGGGGGUACGCGUUUCGCCCUUGCUCUAUACUAGUAGAACCCGAAACAUUGUUUUGACAAGUUCUGUCAUGUUGGGGUUGCAGGUUUUCACAAAAGACCAAGGUGUUGCAGCUUUUAUUCCGUGUUUUUCUUGCUAUCAACAGUACAGGCUGACCAACGACAGUUUUAGCUACAAAUAUUUGACGCCUCGUCUUGCAACUAGCUGUUGAUAUUCUAGGUUUUUUAAAUUUAAAAUUGGAAUCAACUGUCUGAGAUGUCGUUACCCCUGGCAAACGGGAGGCGCUAACGUCUGCUAACGUCAAAAUUGUCUAUUUCCCCCCGUCAGCUAAGGAGUACAAAAGCGUAAGUUCUUCUAAUAGACCAACAUAUCUGCGAGCAAGGAUCUGCUUAGGGACAGUGAGACAUCAGCGAAUACAACAACGGAACCAUAUCCAAAUUGUAGCACAAAACUUGUACAGCUGUGAUACCUCCCAAACACCUAUGCAGUUUGGAAUGCUUGUCAGGCGAAUGCAGAUUAAUGUAAAAGAUGUCAAAUGUUAGACAUGUGGAAAAGGCCUGAUAGGAUGUGUGGGCGCCUUUGGUAACAUAGAUUGGAACUUAUGAUUUUUCAUGUUGGCUACACCAAGGCAGUAAUAACUGUGCUGCAAACAAUCUGCAAAACAUGCUUGUCUGUCCAUCUCAGUGAUGAGAUGGCAAAUUUGUUGAGUAAAUCUGACUAAGGAAGCAAAUCUGAGAAGUGUUCCUAAAAGUAACUUGUCCCAGUGUGAUUUUCAUAGCAGCCCAUCAUUUGUUCCAAAGAUUUUUUUAUGAAGCUACAACAUAGGAGGUCUUUACCCAGUAAGCAUCAUACAGGGAGCUCCUAUGUAUGAAAGGAACUUUCUUCAGUAUUGAUACUGGGAUAAAUGACUUUGUUCUCAUCAACUUUCAGUUUAAAGAAACCAUUAACUCCUCAAAGACCACAAGUACACCUGUUACCACCACCCGGUUCCAAAUCGAUGAUUGCUUGGAUUCUAGAAAAAAACAAUGCUCGUGACUCGGUGUCGCCAACGUGAUACAAAGUUAUUCAACUCUUUACAUCAAACCUGUUGAGAAGGAUGCCCCAGGCUGGACACUAUUACUCCAAUUGAAAAUGAAUGGACACAGGUAACAAGUUUAGAGAGACUUUUAUCAGAUCACCUUGCAACCUCUUACUUUCAUUUGAAAGUAAUUCAAGUAGGUCGUCCUAAUGCAAUAAUAAUUUCCGAUUUAAUUUUUUGAUUUAGUUCAUUUAUAGCACUCAUGCAAGAUGCAACCACCAUUUAGACAUCUUAAAAACGUAUUUUAGGAUAUGCAAACUAUGGCACUUAAUUUUUAUAUAAUAUAACCUUCCAUACGUCACUUUUAUUGUAGCUGACAGUGACUGUAAUUAUGGCUUACUUAGCCCAUGCUUAUCCAGAGCUGCCUUGUUGAUCCCCGCCCUAAAAACUAUCAUCUUCAAAAGCUUCCAGGUUUGUUGUGGUCGUAGAACAGCAGACGACGAAGUUCAAAGCGGCAUUGUACCAUCGGACAGAAUCCAAACGGUUGAUGCAUUGAAAAUGUCGGAGCUCUGUUGAUGAAUUUUCACCAGCACUCUUCCACAAGACGCGCGCGAAGCAAACGAUAGCAAAGGAGAUAUGGACUUGAAGUGGUUGUUUACCACCCGUGGCUUUCCCGCAUCCCAGGAUUAGUCUUGUACACCUUUUGCACUUGUACAGAGCGUUCGGGAACGAAAUUAGUUGUGGAUGGGUUUGCUGUUGACAAGCAAGGGAAGGAUUUUUACUACCAAACUAGAUAGGAAUGAAAUUUGUUGUGGCUGGUUUGGUUGUUGACAAGCAAGGGAAGGAUUUUUUUACCAAAGUAGACAGGAUAUUUAUUCUUAAUCCCACAAUGUCUUGACUACAAAUCAUGCUGAAUUAGAAUAGUAUGUUGAUCGAGGCUGGGUGCCAAAGCAAUGGAUGAUAAUUGUAAGCGCGAUUGGAAAUAUCCAUGAUUUAUUAACGUUCUCUCAUGUUACGGUAUUUUAUUAAAGACAAAUUGAAGUGUA